AGAGUGAACGCUGGCGGUAGGCCUAACACAUGCAAGUCAAACGGCAGCACAGGAGAGCUUGCUCUCUGGGUGGCGAGUGGCGGACGGGUGAGGAAUACAUCGGAAUCUACCUUUUCGUGGGGGAUAACGUAGGGAAACUUACGCUAAUACCGCAUAAGACCUUCGGGUGAAAGCCGGGGACCUUCGGGCCUGGCGCGGAUAGAUGAGCCGAUGUCGGAUUAGCUUGUUGGCGGGUAAAAGCCCACCAAGGCGACGAUCCGUAGCUGGUCUGAGAGGAUGAUCAGCCACACUGGAACUGAGACACGGUCCAGACUCCUACGGGAGCAGCAGUGGGAAUAUUGGACAAUGGGCGCAAGCCUGAUCCAGCCAUACCGCGUGGGUGAAGAGGCCUUCGGUUGUAAAGCCUUUUAGUGGUAAAGAAUCCGUAGUCCGGUUAAAUAACCUAAGUACGGAUAGG
rnacentral:rRNA from 1 species